AGCGAACGCUGGCGGCAGGCUUAACACAUGCAAGUCGAACGCCCCGCAAGGGGAGUGGCAGACGGGUGAGUAACACGUGGGAACGUACCUUUUGGUUCGGAACAACACAGGGAAACUUGUGCUAAUACCGGAUAAGCCCUUACGGGGAAAGAUUUAUCGCCAAAAGAUCGGCCCGCGUCUGAUUAGCUAGUUGGUGAGGUAAAGGCUCACCAAGGCGACGAUCAGUAGCUGGUCUGAGAGGAUGAUCAGCCACACUGGGACUGAGACACGGCCCAGACUCCUACGGGAGGCAGCAGUGGGGAAUAUUGGACAAUGGGCGCAAGCCUGAUCCAGCCAUGCCGCGUGAGUGAUGAAGGCCCUAGGGUUGUAAAGCUCUUUUGUGCGGGAAGAUAAUGACGGUACCGCAAGAAUAAGCCCCGGCUAACUUCGUGCCAGCAGCCGCGGUAAGCACGAGAGUA
rnacentral:rRNA from 1 species